GACGAACGCUGGCGGCGUGCUUGACACAUGCAAGUCGAACGGAAAGGCCCUGCUUUUGUGGGGUGCUCGAGUGGCGAACGGGUGAGUAACACGUGAGUAACCUGCCCUUGACUUUGGGAUAACUUCAGGAAACUGGGGCUAAUACCGGAUAGGAGCUCCUGCUGCAUGGUGGGGGUUGGAAAGUUUCGGCGGUUGGGGAUGGACUCGCGGCUUAUCAGCUUGUUGGUGGGGUAGUGGCUUACCAAGGCUUUGACGGGUAGCCGGCCUGAGAGGGUGACCGGCCACAUUGGGACUGAGAUACGGCCCAGACUCCUACGGGAGGCAGCAGUGGGGAAUAUUGCACAAUGGGCGGAAGCCUGAUGCAGCAACGCCGCGUGCGGGAUGACGGCCUUCGGGUUGUAAACCGCUUUCGCCUGUGACGAAGCGUGAGUGACGGUAAUGGGUAAAGAAGCACCGGCUAACUACGUGCCAGCAGCCGCGGUGAUACGUAGGGUGCGAGCGUUGUCCGGAUUUAUUGGGCGUAAAGGGCUCGUAGGUGGUUGAUCGCGUCGGAAGUGUAAUCUUGGGGCUUAACCCUGAGCGUGCUUUCGAUACGGGUUGACUUGAGGAAGGUAGGGGAGAAUGGAAUUCCUGGUGGAGCGGUGGAAUGCGCAGAUAUCAGGAGGAACACCAGUGGCGAAGACGGUUCUCUGGGCCUUUCCUGACGCUGAGGAGCGAAAGCGUGGGGAGCGAACAGGCUUAGAUACCCUGGUAGUCCACGCUGUAAACGGUGGGUACUAGGUGUGGGGUCCAUUCCACGGGUUCCGUGCCGUAGCUAACGCUUUAAGUACCCCGCCUGGGGAGUACGGCCGCAAGGCUAAAACUCAAAGGAAUUGACGGGGCCCCGCACAAGCGGCGGAGCAUGCGGAUUAAUUCGAUGCAACGCGUAGAACCUUACCUGGGUUUGACAUGGAUCGGGAGUGCUCAGAGAUGGGUGUGCCUCUUUUGGGGUCGGUUCACAGGUGGUGCAUGGCUGUCGUCAGCUCGUGUCGUGAGAUGUUGGGUUAAGUCCCGCAACGAGCGCAACCCUUGUUCACUGUUGCCAGCACGUUAUGGUGGGGACUCAGUGGAGACCGCCGGGGUCAACUCGGAGGAAGGUGGGGAUGACGUCAAGUCAUCAUGCCCCUUAUGUCCAGGGCUUCACGCAUGCUACAAUGGCUGGUACAGAGAGUGGCGAGCCUGUGAGGGUGAGCGGAUCUCGGAAAGCCGGUCUCAGUUCGGAUUGGGGUCUGCAACUCGACCUCAUGAAGUCGGAGUCGCUAGUAAUCGCAGAUCAGCAACGCUGCGGUGAAUACGUUCCCGGG
rnacentral:rRNA from 1 species